CUGUAUGCAUGUAGAUGUUAAUGUAUAUGCAUUUACCCUGAAAACAUUAAAAAGAAAAAUGAGGUGAGACACACGGAAAAUAUAUUCAUAUAUCAAGGAAUCUUAAAAAUAAUAGUUUGUGGACGUUACUUCAGCCUCUUGUUUGAGUCUAACCAAAAAAUAAACAGUGUGGCUGAAGUCAAGAGUCUACCAGGUGACGGUUUGGGCAGCAGUGAUGGCAUCACUGCUAAUGAGAUUAUUGAUAUUCUCGGAACUAAUACCAUCGCAAGUGGAGCCGGAGUGAAAGCCAACGUUUUGGAAUUUGUGACGACGGAAUCUACUGAUCUACGGCACGGUCUAGCGAUAGGUGGAGGAGGAGGAGGAGGAGGACAGGAAGACACGACUAGUAUUUGGUAGGUUAAUGCUAUAUUAGUGUUUCUUAUGUAAACAUGUAAUUAGUUCUGUUUGGAUGUGCUGACCAGCAUGACUAAACUAAGAUGAGUUUGUUUAUUUUUCUUCUGACAACAUAAACAAACGUGUUGUUUUGUGAAUACUUUUUUAUAUACCAAUUCCUAUACCAGCGAAUUUACCGACAAUUUUGUAACGACACAUAUCCCUCUUCAUAUAUCUAUAUAUUCAUGCCCUAUUAUACACACACACAAUAUACGUAUGUGAUUUCUAUAUGCUAGAAACAGCAAUCAAAUCACCCUCAAACACAUUGAAUACUAUAGUGCUGUAUACGCUUAAAAUGUCUUUGAUCAUUAGUCUGCUCAGUCAGAGCUAAUCAGAGAAUAAACAACACACGAACACAAAUAUACUACUUCAAAACCGACACAACACGGUGUACAGUCAACACACACCUGGAUACAGUCUUUGUAUAUACAAACACCAAAAUAUAUCUUCAUACUCCAUACAAUACCAUAUCAAAAUACAAAUGGAAUAACUUCACGGCUAUUUACACUGAAGCUAACUUCUGCAUGUUUAUACAAUAUACAUGAGAGCAUGUAGUACAUAUACAUAUUAUAUAUGUAUACGCACAUGUGUGAGUGUGUGUUGGAAUGUAUGUAUGGUAUGUGUAUAUGACGUAUGUGAUUAUUUGUGUAUUAUAUAUGAUAUAUGUACAUGUGUGUAUCUAUGUAUGUUUACACACACCAGAAAAAUAAACUUCAUCUAUGUAAAUUUGCAAAUCACACGAUGGGUCUGUAUGUAUGUAUUUAUUUAUGUAUGUAUGUAUGUAUGUAUGUAUGUAUGUAUGUAUGUAUGUAUGUAUGUAUGUAUGUAUGAAUGCAUGCAUGUAUGUAUAUAUGUAUGUAUUUAUGUAUGAAUGCAUGCAUGUAUGUAUAUAUGUAUGUAUGUAUGUAUGUAUUUAUGUAUGAAUGCAUGCAUGUAUGUAUGUAUAUAUGUAUGUACGUACGCAUUCAUGUUAAUGUGUGUAUGUGUGAGUGUGUGUAUGCGUGAUGUGGGCAAUGGCCACAAGUCGACAUAAACAUUCAGAAAGAAAAUGAGUGUUGGAAACUAUUACAUAACUUUUCUUACAUAAUGUAUCACGUUAUAUUAGAGGUACUCGUGUCUGAGGAAUACACAGCCACUUAUGAGCUAGUAUAUGAUUAAAUGUAUAGUUGAUUAAACAAGUAGAAUACUCAGUGUCGAAAGAGAUAGGUUCCAAUCACAUUUUACACUACUUUCUGUGCAUGAUUAUAUUAAUACAUUUAAGUGAACACGUGUGCGCGUGUGACGCUGAGGAUACCCGUAUUCGUACACACAUACAUACACACACAUACAAAAUACAACAUAUGUAUGUAUGUAUUUAUGUGUGUGUGUGUAUAUAUAUAUAGGCGUAGGAGUAGCUGUGUGGUAAGUAGCUUGCUUACAAACCACAUGGUUCCGGGUUCAGUCCCACUGCGUGGCAUCUUGGGCAAGUGUCUUCUGCUAUAGCCUCGGGCCGACCAAAGUCUUGUGAGUGGAUUUGGUAGACGGAAACUGAAAGAAACCCGUCGUAUAUAUGUGUGUAAGUGUGUGUGUGUGUGUUUCUGUGUCUGUGUUUCCCCCCCCCCCCCAACAUCGCUUGACAACCGAUGCUGGUGUGUUUACGCCCCCGUAACUUAGCGGUACGACAAAAGAGACCGAUAGAAUAAGUACUAGGCUUACAAAGAAUAAGUCCUGGGGUCGAUUUGCUCGACUAAAGGCGGUGCUCCAGCAUGGCUACAGUCAAAUGACUGAAACAAAUAAAAAGAGUAAAAAAAAGAGUAUAUGUAGACACACUCACACUCACACACAAGGCGCAGUCCUGGCUGAGUGAGAAGAAGUUUGCUUCUUAAGUACAUGGUUCCAGUUUCACUCCGAAUGCGUGGUACCUUGGGCAAUAUGUUUUCUCCUAUAGCCACGGGCCUGUGAAUGGAUUUGGCAGACGAAAACUAAAAGAAGCCUGUCGUAUAUAUGUGUGUGUGUGUGUGUGAGAGAGAGAGAGAAAGAGAGAGCUAGACAGACAGAGAAAGUGCGUGUCAGUAUUUGUCCCCCACAACCGGUUCUCGUGUGCUUACACCCCAUUAAUUUAUUGGUUCGGUAAAAACACUGAUAGAAUAAAUACCAGGCUUUAAGAAAUUAAGUACUGAGGUUCUAUUCAUUCGACUGAAAUUCUUCAAGGAGAUGCCCCAGCAUGGCCGCAAUCUAAUGACUGAAACAAAACGAUGUAAAAGUAAAUGGAAAAAAAGACUAUCACUGUUAUCUUUUACUCGUUUCAGUCAUUUUAUUGCGGCCAUGCUGGGGUACCGCCUCGAAUAAAUUUAAUCGAAGGAAUCGACCCCAAUACUUAAUUCUGUCGGUCUGCUCAGGCAAACCGCUAAGUUACGGGGUCGUAAACAUACUAGCAACGCUUGCUAAGCGGUGGUGAGGGACAAACACAGAACACACGGACACACGGAUGCAAGCGCGCGCACACACACACACACACACAUACAAUGGGCUUCUUUCAGUUUCUCUAUACCUAAUCCAUUCACAAUUCUUAGGUCGACCUGAGACUGGAGUAGAAAACACUUGCACAAGGUGCGACGCAUCUGGACUGAACCCGGAACCACGUGGUUAGAAAACAAACUUUCAAUCACACAGCUAUGCUUGCACCUAUGUAGUAGCAGUAUUUUAAAACGUUCGUCCUUCUGGGUUGAUCCAAUAAAAUAUAACUGGUUUCGGGCGAAGGUCUCAGAAGGAAGAUUGCCCGAAUCGUUAGAUUUAUUGAACAAAACGCCUGGUGGCAUUUCUUCCGUCUUGUUACAUUUUUAAAAGAUAUCAUUUAAUCCUUACUUAGCCCUAAAGGCCUCUUCUGAUGAAAAUACAGAGUCAAUUCUGAGUGACAGAAGAUAAUAUCUAGCAGAAGCAACAGAGUGAUUCAAGACACCCGAGUUCCGUGCUUUAGCAUUUAAUAAAAAUAUACAUAUACUCAUAUUUUGAAUUCUAGGGACAAACACAGACACACAAACAUAUACAUAUAUACAUACAUACAUAUAUACGACGGGCUUCUUUCAGUUUCCGUCUACCAAAUCCACUCAGAAAGCUUUGGUCGGCCCUAGUCUAUAGUAGAAGACACUUGCCCAAGGUAUCACACAGUUGGACUGAACCUGGAACCAUAUGGUUGUGAAGCAAGCUUCUUACCACACAGCCGCUCCUGCGGCUCUCUCUCUCUCUCUCUCUCUCUCUCUAUAUAUAUAUAUAUAUAUAUAUAGAGAGAGAGAGAGAGAGAGAGAGAGAGAGAGAGCCGCAGGAGCGGCUCUUCAUAUGGUUCCAGGUUCAGUCCAACUGUGUGAUACCUUCAAGUGUCAUCUACUAUAGACUAGGGCCGACCAAAGCUUUCUGAGUGGAUUUGCAGACGAAACUGAAAGAAGCCCGUCGUAUAUAUGUAUGUAUGUAUAUAUGUAUAUGUAUAUUAUAUAUAAAUUAAUAUGUUCAAUAAGAAAUAAUUAUUUUCGAAAUUUAUUCUCUUAUGAGGUUUUCACGCUAUCUACCUGACAAUUUCUUGUUAAGUUUUCCUUAUUAAGUGGUUGUCCUUAAUUGCUAUAUAUAUAUAUAUAUAUAUAUAUAUAUAUAUAUAUAUAUAUAUAUAUAUAUAUAUAUUUAUGUAUGUAUGUAUGUAUGUAUCAAAAUAAGCAACAAGGAUAUCUAGGGGUAAUGCAGUACGAUCGUUUCACGCAACUCCAUUUAAUUGAACAAUGCUACCAUUACAUCAGUUUAAAUGCAGGUCAAUCCUCAGUGGCACAAAGAUAGAAUUUAAUUAAAUUAAAACAGAUGGACACAUUAGUAUAAUUUUGCCUAAAAUCUCCAAGAAGUUAAGGAGAUAGACACAGAACAUUGGUGCCAUUCCUUCCACUUAGAAGCUACUAAGUUAUCAGGAAGAAAGACUUGUUACAGAUUUUACUUGUCACUUUUAUAUGGGGUCAGUUUUAAUUUAUAGACUAGUUUUUUAUCAAAUCCUUGUAUAUCUGAAGCUGGGUUUGUUAAGGGUAGGGCUGCGGGAGUCGACAGAAAACAUAGUGGGUAUAGUCAUAAAAAUCAAGAUUUAUUUGAAGCAAUAUCAUGGGAUUUGGUAAAGGAAAACUUAAAUGAAGAUGUUAGCUGACAAUUAAGGGGACUGGCCACUAGCAGACCAUUGAUAAUGAAACAGGAAAAACCAUAUCAUGUAGUACUAUAGUUAAAUAUUUUAAGCAAUACUUCUUUAUUGUAUAAAGUCAAAGUUUAGGGUUAUUCAGAGGAUUAUUUCAGAAGAAUAAUUAUAACAAAAGGAUAAAAUGUUUUAUGAAUACUUUUGAGUAUAUACCAAACUUUUACCACAAUAGAGGGAGGAAAAGAAAAUUAUCCAGAAAUAGUUUAAUAUUUAUACAUAUUAUAAAUUUAAAUACUAACUAAUCAGAUGGUAUCAGUGAAUAUUGAUCAAUUGGUAUAUACUGGUAUUUAAUAAAGGAGUACUGAGGUAAAAUGCUAACUAUGAAUUAAUUUAAUUAUAAUCUAAGCAGUUUGUUUUAAGUAGUGAAUAUACCAGUAUUCUUUAUUUAUAAACUAAGUAUGAAUUUAUGGAGGUAAAAAUAUUAGAUUUGUUUUAUAAAUAUAUGUGUAUAUAUAUAUAUAUAUAUAUAUAUAUAUAUAUAUAUAUAUAUAUGUCUAUCUACCUGUCUCAUUAUCUCUGUCUCUAUCUCUCUCUCUCUCUCUCUCCCUGUAUAUAUAUAUAUAUAUAUAUAUAUAUAUAUAUAUAUAUAUAUAUAUAUAUAUAUAUAUAUAUAUACAUGUAUAUAUACAUGUCCCCAUCACCGCUUGACAACCGGUGUUGGUGUGUUUACAUCUCCGUAACUUAGCAGUUCGGCAAAAGACCGAUAGUAUAAGUACUAGGCUUAAGAAAUAAGUCCUGGGGCCUAUUUGUUUGACUAAAAACCUUCAAGGCGGUUCUCCAGCAUGGCCAUAGUCAAAGGACUGAAACAAAUAAAAGAAUAAGAGAAUGUGUGUGUGUGUGUGUGUGUGUGUGUGUGUGUGUGUGUGUGUGUGUGUGCAUGUAUGUGUGUGCAAUAAUUAUAAUGAUAGAAUAUAUGGAAACUAGUACAUUCUCAAAAUUGAGUUCUUUUUAUUUAACGGUAUGUCAUACAGCAUAUUUUCAUGGCUACCACGAUCUACACGUGUUUCUGUUGCACAGAGUAUGAGCAUGUGCAUAUGCGACCGGGCAUAAUUUUCUGUGCAAUGAAAAUAUGCUGUAUGACAUACCGUGUAAAAAAAGGAAAUAAAUCUUAAACAUGUACCAGUUUCCAUAUACUUUAUCACUAUGUUUAUUUCAAAUAUACACUCCAGAUAAUAUUACCAUCCAGUGAAGCGAACACCGAAUUACCCAUCGGAGAAAUAUACAGCAUGAGUGACAACACGUAGUAGUUACAGACGUUAAAUACUAAUCAAUGCAGUUAGCCGUAACCUGGAACAUAACUGAGAGCUACCACGGUAUCAGCCCGGAUAAUAUAUCCCUCUAAACUAAUAUAUAUAUAUAUAUAUAUAUAUAUAUAUAUAUAUAUAUAUAUAUAUAUAUAUAUAAGGUGUGUGUGAGAGAGAGAGAGAAUGAGAGAAAGAAAAGGCAAAUGGAUAUUUUGACACAUAAUUAUAACGAGGUGUCAUUAAUGGUAUAAUAUAGAUUCAGCUAUCUGGAUAGGAUUAACUGGGAAACAUCUAAGUUUUAUUUUGUAAAAUCUGGCCUUUAUUGCUUGAAAUAAUAACAUACAUAUCCCAUGUGCAAUAUGAUUGUAUUGAUGUAAGGUGCUAUUCUUGAUUUUACCUAAUAUGAAUUGUAAACGUUAUAACUGUAAUUAAAAACAUUAGAUGUCCAAUAAUUCGGUCAACCCUAAAGAUUAAGAAUUGUCGAGAAUACUCUCAAACCGUGAAGCAGCUGUCACAUAACACUUAAUCGCUUUCAUAACGACAUCAGAACUAGAAAUGUAUAUCCUAACUACAAAAUAGCUGAGAACAUUUAGAAUAUCAUUCGUAGCAGACGUUCUCUCGACAUCGUUCACACGCGCCUGACACGGGCUCCGAAGUUACAGCCCGAGUUGUUAUCUAUAAUCCUGGGUGAAUGUAGCAAGGAUGGCACGUAUGAAUGACGAAGCCACCUUGAGCAUAAUCUUAUGAACCCGGAAAAUUUAAAAUAAAGGGUUACCUACUUGCAAACAAAUGUGGUAACAUGUAACAUUAUUGAUCGAGGUUACCGUGGUCUUUUCCGUAGGCAUUUCUUCCCAUGGAUAAACCUUAUCUUCUUCCCCCUUUACAAAUUACUUCAUGACACUGUGAUACACGAUCCCUAUUGAUCGUUUCUUUUUCUCUUUCCCUCCUUUUUUAUUUUUCUUUCCCUUUUACGAUCCCUUUUGAUCGAAAACCUACCCCACCUUUUUUUUUCUCUCCCCCAAAAAGAAAAGCUCUACUUUGUAAUCUGUCCCGUCUGUGUGCAGCCCUUUGUGGCCAAUAAAGAAACCUAUAUAUAAUCCUAAAAAUUAAAAGUAAUUCGAAUUCUAUGUUUUCUUGAAAUAGUAAAUUUCUAUAGGGAUUAGGAUUUAAAUUCCAAUCUAUGAAAAGUUUCCGUUCUACAAUAUUCUUAAAGGAACGAAAAAUAUAUCCAACAAGUCGGGCUAAUACAAACGAGCCCAGUUGGUGUAAAAGACUAACUGGCACCUCUUGUCAAGAACACCGGCGAGAGUCAGAUCGCUGAUGUUAGUUGUGCACUCCAUUGUCGUUAUUUGAUUGCUGUUAUUCUGUGCGUCUAUGCGUUAUAACCCUGCUUGCCUGCGUACUUAUACAUCGCUCGCAUUUUUCGUCAUAAAAAUUAUAUAAAAAUACAUAAAAAAUAUAUAAAAAUAUAUAAAAUCUUCUUGGGACAUAACAUAGAAAGCAUGUUCUAUCUGUUUUCUUUAGGGGACCAAAGACGUAACAGAAAUUUAGUCACGUGUGGGCAUGAUCCGAAAAGUUCUGUCCUUGUAUUUAGACAUGUAGUAGGGUCUAAGCUGCUUUUCCAGAUAAGCCAUCUAUCCAUGUCGCAUAGACCGCACCUUCCGCUGCCGUUGGUAUAGGGCUUACAUCUGGCCAAAAUCUUCCAUUGUAUGUUAUAAUCGACACCUUUAUCUCUUAAAGACCAAAGACAGUUCUGUUUUGCAGGGUUGCUUUAUUUUUACCCUUAACUUAAAUACGGAGAAAGACAUAGUGCUAAAUAUACAAAAAGUAAGCCGUUCGGGGUUACAAAUGAAGCAAGAAAACGAAAAAUUCUUCGAGCAGGCAUGUGUCUUAUGCGAAAUCUGUGUUGAGCCCGAAUGACGCUGAGACCGGGAGUCACCUCUGAUGCAUGCAUACAUACAUGUAUGUAUGUAUGUAUGUAUGUAUGUAUGUAUGUAUGUAUGUAUGUAUGUAUGUAUGUAUGUAUAGUUGAAAUUUACAGAAAAACAAAGGACGAAGACUGGUGUAUUAGUUUGACGCUCGGGAAAGUGUGAAAGUCUUUUACGUUUCGAGCCUACUCUCUUCUACAGAAAGGAACACGGGGAAAUAAACGAGAGAGAGAAUAAAAAAAAUUAUGGAUUUAGCGGUCAAUCAUGGCGAAUGGUUGAACAAAGGUAGUUAGACAGGAGACCUAAGAAGAAGGGGAGAUAAUAAAGUAAUGAUAUAUAUAUGACACAGGUGUCAUUCAUAUAUAUAUAUAUAUAUAUAUAUAAAUGGAGCAUGGGUAUAGUUAUGUGUAGGCUUAUUACAUUCUACAUACAUACACACACACACACACACACACACACACACACACAUAUAUAUAUAUAUAUUUGUCUACGCAGCUGAGGUCUUUGUGUAUGUGUGGGUGUAAGUUGUGAUCAUGUGUCCGUGGUUCAUUGGCCUUUUGAACUUGAAUUCCUUCACUAAAUUCUAUGGGUUUAUUCGGGACACUAAAUUCUCUAAGCUGCUUAUCUUUUCAUUUAUCUUCUAGGUAUUCUCAACUUUAAAUAGGGUCAUAACCCACUCGUACUUUUCCAGGAGUCAUAUUUAUGAACUGAAUUAAAAUGCUAACCCCCUCCUAACCCCUUCCCUUCCUUAAACUUCCUUCUCUAUACUCUUUGCUUUUUCUGUCUUCUCCUUCUUUUUCAUUCACCCACCAAUUUUGAUAUAUUCAUUUAUUUUUUCACUUAUUUUCUCAUUGACCUUCACAUUACUUUAUUUCAUUUCAAUUUAUUUUAAAUAUUACUUGUGUAUGUGCGUGUGUGUACGUGUAUUAUAUACAUAUGUAUGUAUCAUAUAUAUAUACAUAUAUCUUUGUGUGUGUAUGUGUAUGUAUAUAUGAACAUAUAUAUAAAUAUAUAGAUAUAUGUGUGUGUGUGUGUGUGUGUGUGUGUGUAUAUAUGUAUAUAUGUGUGUGUAUGUAUGUAGGUAUAUAUGUGUGCGUGUAUGUAUGUAUGUACGUGUAUUUAGAGAGAGAGAGAUAAGUAGAUAGAUAGAUAGAUAGAUAGAUAGAUAGAUAGAUAGAUAGAUAGAUAGAUAGAUAGAUAGAUAGAUAGAUAGAUAGAUAGAUAAUUUAUUUUUGUAGAAGAUUACUUGGAAAAAUGUGGCAUGCUGUAAAACCUGCUUAGAUUGCAUCUCGAAUAUAUAUUAUUACUAGCUCAUAACUACAUACUGUGUACAUUAAAUGAUACACACACACACACACACACACACACACACACACACACACACACAUACACACAUACACACACACACACACAUGCGCGCACACAUUUUUAUCUUAAUUGGUACAUAUCUAAAUAAUCGUACAUACAUAACUAUACAUACAUACGCACACACACACAAACACACACAUAUUCAUACAUAUGUGUAUAUAUAUUCUCACGAACACUCGAUAUACAUCUGCUCAUCAUAACAUAAGCACUCACACGCAAAUUGGCAUUCCAUCGGUUACGACGUCGAGGUACCAGCUGAUCCGACCAACAGAACGGCUUGCUCAUGAAGUUAGAGUGCAGGCCGAUGAGCACUUCACAGACAUGUGACCCUUCACGUAAUUCUCAUGGAGACUUAGCGUGACACAGAAUGUAACAAGGCUAGCCUUUUGAAUCACAAGUAGUACAACUCAUUUUUGCCCGCUGAAUGGACUGGAACAACGUGAAAUAAAGUAUUUUUCUGAAGAACUCACGAACUCCGGGAACCAAAAUCACGACCUUAUGAUCAGGACCCGACCCUAAUCAAUAAGCCACGCGCCUUCAUUCACAAACACACAUACAUACUAAGCAUACACACAUACACACGCACACGUACGUAAGUACGUAUGUAUGUAUGUAUGUAUGUAUGUAUGUAUGUAUGUAUGUAUGUAUGUAUAUGUACGUGCAUGUAUUAAUAACGACCAUUUCUAAGGAUGUCCAAGUAAUUAUAUAUUUGAAAAGAAAAUAAAUGAUAUAAAAGUGUGUUACACGCAAUCUGAAGAAAGUAUAUUUUCAGUCGCAUAGUUGUUACUAACUGUUGCACAGAGAAGAGAGAGAGAAACAGAGGUGGAGAUUUGGCGAUUCAGAAGCGUGAGUGUAAUAGGGUACUCAGUCCAUAAGAUAUUUCUUAAAGUGUUCUUCAAUUUAUGAGGUACAGUUUUUUUUUUUAAUGUACGAUGCUGGUUAAAAACUGCAUAUAUUUUGAAUAUACAGGGAUGAAUUUAGAUCAGUCUCUAUUCUAAAAAAAAAAAGAAAAAUUAGGACAUUGCAUUAAGUAAAAAAUAAUUAAUAUAAUAUAAUUACUAUACAAUACCACAUUUAAAACUUCUAUAUAUAGGUUCCGCACCUGGACGGGACGGCGGUCCAUCGCAGGUGAGCUGCAAGAUGCAGGACGAAAAAGUGAGAGAAAAUUGUGGCGAAAGAGUCAGCAGAAGUUUCGCCAUUACCUUCUGCCGGAGCUGCGUGGAGCUUAGGUGUUUCGCUCAUAAACACACACAUCGUCCUGUCUGAGAUUCGAACCCGUGAUCCCUCGACCGCGAGUCCGCUGCUCUAACCAUUAGACCAUGUGCCUACACUAUGAACUAAUAGUAUUGAAGUAAACUACUGAAUUUGAAAUAUAAUGCUGAUACUUGACUGUGUCUUUGGAGAGACCAAGUUCUUUCACACACUGGCUAAGUAGAUCGGAAAGACUUCUUCUGGGAAUGAUGACCAAAUUGGAUUACUUCCUAACAAUUGAAGUUAAUGGAUUCUCUACAAGAUCAAUACACAAGCACAUUAUAUGGAUUUGCUAAGACAUCGCGAACGUUAUUAUUUCAAUAGCCAAUUGUAAAGUACUAUAGUCAACAAGGAAGCUCGUUUAACAGACCACAAUACAACGCAAUACGCAUAGAACUAAACUAGUCCACCCUGAUUUGCAUAAUAUCUGCACUACACGGCAUUUAGAAAUUAUCUAUGUUGUCAAUGAAUGCAGUGUUAUACAAAUAAGGACAGACUGUUUUAAUUCAUAGAUUUACUUAAUCGGUGGCCAUUUGACCAGGGCCGUCGCAUGACUUUUAGAGGUGCCCUGCAACUUUUUGUUUCGAGGUUCCAUAUCUUCAAUCAAAAUUCAUAAUCUACGCACAUUUUAUUCAUAGCUAUAUUUUACUUUAUUCGAUCUGAAGUUCAAUAUUUCUCGUUAUCCUAAAGAACAUAUUUAAAAGUACUAGUUAAAUUUAAUUUGGGGCUGGACUAUCUUAUAAUUUCAUGUUUCGGAAGGCCAACAUUCAAUAGGGUUGAAUAUUUAUUCGAUAGACUCACAAAUAUCAGAAGACAAACAUUUCAAAAUAACAACUGGGAAGUAUAGUUGUCUCAGUCUUUGUGUGCGAAGAAGUUUAUUCAAGAACAUUAAUAUACAAAGAAUUUUCAGUCUAAAACAAAAGCAAACUAUUUCAAAUUAUAUAUUUUUGAAAAAUAGACGAGAACGUUUUCAAAGACUUGAUAACAGACGAAAAAGCCUUUUUUAACUUCUAUAUUUCUUUGUUAGCUGUUGCAAUACUUCGAUUGGAUAGACAAUUCUACAAUUCAGACUGUAAAGUCAAAAUAUCAAAGAUGCAAAAUAUGAAGAAUUUCUUACCUUUUUUUUUGAAAUCACAAAUUCGAGGAAAAAAUAGAACUUUGCAAACUAAAAUACGUCGAUCACAAACUAGUUACCACAGGAGAAUUGAGAUGCUUGGUGACAGUGAGCAAACGAUAUUUGUGCAUAGAUAGAUACAUAGACACACAUACAUACACACACAAAUUUCUAUGUGUGUGUGCACGCGCGCUCCUUGCUUUUGGUUCAGAAAUAAUUUCGUCACAAGUUGCCUUGGGAGAUCAAAGGCCAUUGUUCUGGGUACAAAGUGACCAGCCUUUCAACAACGUCAAAUGACAACGCCAUAUAUAUAUGCAGAGAGAGAUAGAGAGAGAGAGAGAGAAAGAAAGAGAGAGAGAGAGAAAGAAAGAGAGAGAGAGAGAAAGAAAGAGAGAGAGAGAGAAAGAAAGAGAGAGAGAGAGAAAGAGGAGGAGACAAACAGACUAAGAGAUGUGUGUGUGUUUGGUUCACAUCUAUCUAUCUACCUACCUAUCGACCCGAGCUGGCAAAAGCUUUGUGAAUGGAUUUGGUAGGCAGAAACAGAAAAAAACCCAGUAUAUAUGUGUGUGCACGUGAGCAUGUGUCAGUGUGUGUGUUGGUAUGUAUGUAUGUAUGUAUGUAUGUAUGUAUGUAUGUAUGUAUGUAUGUAUGUAUGUAUGUAUGUGUGUGUGUGUGUGUGUGUGUGUGUGUGUGUGUGUGUGUGUGUGUGUGUGUGUGUGUGUGUAUGCUUGUGUGUGUCUGUUUGUAUGUUUAAGUAUAUAUCAUCACCCUUUAUCACCACUGUAUCCUUUUCUUGUCUUUUCUGUUGAAGUUGUUCUUAUUCUCAUUGUUUGGGAUUUCUUUCAUUUUCUUUUAUCUCCCUGGGGAAUUCGUUGACCAGCUUUUUUCAUUUACCUUUUUCGUUUGUUUUAAAUUUAUUUUGCGGUACACCCUCGUAUCUUUUUCCUCGUCUGGCUUGAAAUUUUCAGUUAGCACCUUAACCAAAAUAGGUAGAUGGGUCAUCUAUGUACUUUGAUCUUAACAUGUGCCCCCCACAACCGUGGAGGACCCCUCAACUGCGGAGGCCCCCUGCAACCGCAGGGGUUGCAUGGGCUUAGCGACGGCCUUACAUUUGACACUAAAUUUUAAAACAGUUUGGGAUCUAUAACACAUAAAAAAAAAAUACAAUUGAGACAAGCCAAAGACAAGGAUUUCGAAAUCCGUAAUAUAUUUGCCUUUUAUCUUUUAUAUGUUUCACACAUUGGACUGUGGCCAUAUUGGGGCUCUACCCGUAGGGAUUUUUAGUUGAACGAAUCGACUUCACUAUUUAUUUUUUAAAGCCUGGUACUUAUUCUAUCGGUUCCUUUUGCUGAACCACUAUGUAUCGGGGACAUAAACAAACUCAAAGAGAAUCACAUACACACACGCACGUACGUACGUACGGACGUACAUACAUACAUACAUACAUAAUACAUACAUACAUACAUACAUACAUACAUACAUACAUACAUACAUACAUAUUGGGUCAUCCCAUAAAUAAUGCGUUUUUUUCAAUUGCAUGAACUAAAAGUCGGUGAUGGGGGCGAAAUAAACUACCUGCAUCAACUAGCAAUAAAAGCAGGUAGUAAUUCAGCCUUGUUACUUAUUCUUAGUUUUGAAGUGUGCAGUUCGAUUUUAACAGUUAUGUUUUCAAAGCUAUAAUGGAAGUGAUGAAGGAGCAGUAAUUUUAUUCAGCUGAAUACACGUCAAUGAUUGGUUGAAAUUACCGAAAUACGACACCUUUAACAACAAAUAACUUCCAAAAUACAGAAUUUUCUCAACAACGCCAAGAGUAAAAUAUGUUUUAUGUGACACAUUCUACCAGUAUACGAAGUUUGAAAAUGUUUAGUUUCAAGAAAUUACUUUUUUAAAUCUAGUUUCCGUCUACCAAAUCUACUCAGAAGACUUUGGUAGAAGACACUCUCCCAAGGUGCCACGCAUCGGUAUUGAACCCGGAACUACGUGGCUGAAAAUCAACCUUCUAACAUCAGAGCCAUCAACCAUGUCCUUCUUGUGUCCAGGGGCAGCUUGUUAGACUAUCCAGUUCCUUCUAUGUUGUGUCGCAUGCAGCAGUCUGUCUCUUCUUCUAGUCGAUUCUUUGAUAAUCUAACUCCAUAAACAUCUUUGAAGGCCUUUUGCUCUCUUACCUUCAGCACUUUCCAUCAGGAUGAUGUUGGGAGAAAGUGAAUUGUGGUACAUUGUAUAUCCAAAAGGCAAUACCUUUCCGGGCUUGAUUCUAGGAAUAGGUGUCUGUGGACUUUCAACUUUUCUAGUAUUGCACCAGUUGUUAUCUUUCCUGCUUAUUCAGUCAAAUUUGCGGAAGUUCCACACCUCAAAACCUUCGUCUUUUCCUCCACUUUUGCGCAGAUUCUCCCAGUAUCCUCACCGUAAAGGACAGUUGGCCUAAUAUAACAGUUUACUAGCCUCCAUUUCAGGUACAGUCUUGACUUUUGAGCUGAAGAUCAUUUUCAGUUUUUUAAACGUAGUUUUAGCUUUAUUUACUUUCUGAGUAACUUCUACACAGCCAUAUUCCUAGUUUAUUCUUUGUUCUAGAUACAUGAAGUUUUUUAUUUGAUCAAGCUUUUGUCCACCUACCUUUAUAUAAGCUUCCUUUUGUUCUGUCUUACUAAUAACCAUUGUCUUUGUCUUUUACAUCAAAAAUUUCUGGCAAGUUCUUAUUACUGUCAGCCAAGAAUACUGUAUCAUUAGCAUAUCUUACAUUGUUUACGUUUAUUCCAUUGACUGUGAAUUCUUUGAUCUCAUUUUACUUUGUAAAUAGAUAUUAAAUAGGUAUGGUGAUAACACAUAUGACACACAUACUUGAAUAACACCUAUUUUGAUCUCCGCUGAUUCAGAUAACUCCUUCUCUAUUUUGAUGUCUGCCAUUUGGAGCCAGUAUAAAACACAGAUAAUUUCUAAUGUCUUUUUCCUCUAAGUCGGCUUUUUUAAAAAAGAGGUGAUGAUCUCUUUCUGCUGCAUGCUGUCAAAUGCCUUACAUUAUCUGUGAAGCAAGCAAACAGAUCUAUUUAUACCCGCGUUAGCUUUUGUGGUGGCUUUUUCAAGCAGAAUAUGCCAUCACUUGUAUGUCGCCAUGAGUCCAAACUGUUGUUCAACAACUCCAGCAUUUAGUUCGCUUUUUAUUAUUUCAAGCAUGACUAAGUAACUAUAAGAAAUAUUAUUGCAUUAAAUAUUUAUCAUUGAAAUGACAAUAAUGUAUAUGUAUGUAUAUAUGUAUGUAUGUAUUAUCUAUCAAUCUAUCUAUCUUUUUUAUUUUUUUAUUCUUUUGUUUUUUUUUGUUUUUUUUUGUUGUUUUUUCAUCCCCCAAAAGAAAAGCUCUACCUUGUAACUUGUCCCAUCUGUGUGCAGCCCUGUGUGGCCAAUAAAGAAACUUAUCUAUCUAUAUAGCUAUCUAUCUAUUUAUAGAUACAGAUAUAUAUAUAUAUAUAUAUAUAAUAUAUAUAAUAUAUAGUUAUAUAUAUAUAUAUAUAAAUAUAUGAAAGAAUAUAUAUAUAUAUAAGUAUAUGAAAUAUAUAUAUAUAUAUAUAUAUAUAUAUACGACGGGCUUCUUUCAAUUUCUAUCUAGCAAAUCCAUUCACAAGGCUUUGGUCGACCCGAAGCAAUAGUAGAAGACAAUUACCCAAAGUGCCACACAUUUGAGUGAACCCGAAACCAUGUGGUUUAGAAACAAGCUUCUUACCAUAUAGCCAUGCCUGUGCCGUCUUGUGAACGUCGUCUUGUUGUUUUGUUAGACAGACAGAUAGAUAGUGAGAGAGAGGGACAGGGAGAGAUUAAAUUAACAAAUGAAAAACCAAAAUAUUUACCACCACUCGAAAAAAAAGCAUUUAAUUUAGAUAGAAAAUAUAUAGACAUAUAGAGACUCUUAACGCUGUUUCUAGAAUAGCCAAAUAUGUGGAUCAUUAUAUUGAAUUAGGAUUCUAUAAGCUGAGUAUAUCGUCAUCAGAGAGGGAGAGUCAGAUAAAUGUCAAAAUGAAGAAAUAUCCACCAUCGAGAAUGCUAUUAAUACGUUCCAGUUUGUCAAAAUUGAAGAAAGGAUCAGAGUAAAAUAAAUAUGCAUUGUGCAUGUGUUCAUGGAGCUGCGUAAUGCAUAUCUAUUUUACUCUAAUCCUUCUUUCAUUUUUGACAAACUGGAAUGUACUGAUAUUCUCGAUUGCGGAUUAUUCUUCGUUUUGACAUUUAUCUGAUUUUUCCCUCUCUGAUACUCAAUUUAUGGAAUCCUUACUCAAUAUCUUGAUCCACAUGCUUGGCUAUUUUAGAAACAGCUGUAAAAAUACUUUUAUAUGUUCAGUCUAAAUUAAAUGCCUUUUUUUUCGGGUGAUUUCAAAUGUUUUGAAAUGUGUGUACGUGUGUGUAUGUGUUGCAUGAGUAUAUGUGUGUCUAUGAGUCUGUAUGUGCACGUAUGAGAAUAUAUGUGUAGAUAUAUGUAUAUAUUGUAUAUGUAUGCACAUAUACAUGUAUAUCUGUAUGUGAAAUAAAAGUUUUAAAAAGAUUUUGAAUUUUAACCAUCAUCUGCGAAAAUAGUGACACACAGGAGUUGGACAAACUAAUGGAAACACCUAGCAUCAUAGCAUCAUAAUUUGGAAACAAACUAUAAAACUGUCAAAAGCUUGUUUAUUUUUAUAUUAUUUUUUAAAAAUUUAUAUGUUUUGCUAAAAUUGCUGUUUCUUUUCAGAUAUCAUCAGAAAAAGGUAAUUAAAAUUCAUUGAAAUGACAGAUCUAUCGAACUUUCAAAGAGGUCAAAUUGUUGGUGUUCGUAUGAUAGGAGCUUGAGUAACGAAAACCGCCGAAACGUUUGUGUAUCAAGAAGUACUGUCGUAAAAGUAAUGGCAGCCUUUGAGCAAGAGGGAAAAACCUCCUCGUCGAAGCAAAACUCCGGAUGAAAACCAAAAUUUUCAGAUAGGGACCGUCGGAUUCUUGCGCAAGUUGUUAGAAGGAUCACAAAAGUUCAACUCUCAAAAUUACUGCAGAGAUUAAUGACCACCUCGAGAACCCAGUUUCCACAAAAAGCUGUUCGCUGGGAGCUGCACAAAGCUGGAUUUCACGGGAGGGCUGCAAUCAGAAAUCUACUACUUUCAAAAACAAACGUUGAAAAGAGUUAAAAGUAGAGCAAAAACCUACAGAAUUGGUCCCUAGAGCAGUGAAAGAAUGUUAUUUUCUCGGACGAGUCAUCCUUUACCAUAUUUCCGACCACCGGCCGAGUAUACGUGUGGAGAUAGCCAAAAGAAGCAUUGACCCAGACUGCCUUUUACCAACUGUUAAACAUAGAGGAGGAUCUAUGAUGAUAUGGGAGCCUAUAUCUUGGAAAUGGUUUCCAUUCAUGGCAGAAUUAAUAGUCAAGACUAUUUAAGCAUUUCAUCUGAUCAAACUCAUCCUAUGCAGAAUUGUUUCCGCAAUCUUUCAGGAUGAUAAUGCACCAAUUAACACAGCUAAAAUUGUUACUGAAUGGCACGAGGAACAUUCUUGUGAGGCUGAACAUCUUAUCUGGCCACCACAGUCCCCAGAUAUCAAUAUUAUUGAACAUUUAUGGAGCGUUUUAGAAAAACAAGUAAGGAGUCGAUAUCCUCCUCCAUUACUACAAGAACUGUUUUAGCUGAAGAAUGAAGAAAAAUUCCUUUGGAAACAAUUCAAACUUUGUACGAGUCCAUACCUUGUAGACUUCAAGCUGUAACUACUGCCAAAGGCGGUCCAACCCCAUAUUAAAAUAGAUUUGUUUGAAAUUUUAAGGUGUUUCCAUUAUUUUGUCCAACCCCUGUAUAUAUGUGUAGAUGGAUAAGCGUAUACGUGUGAGUGCGUUUACGUUUUUAUAAGAUUGUGUGAGCGUG
rnacentral:lncRNA from 1 species